rnacentral:lncRNA from 1 species
UGCAGACCAAGCACAGGGAGACGCAGGCAAACCUGGAACAGUAACCCAGCCAGCUCCAAUUGCUCCGACAGUACUUGGUGGCCAGAGAGUCGGCAGCAGAAAGCAUGCCCCGGGCCGUGAAGCAGGAAAUCGACUCUGACUCAAUCCUUGAGGUCUGAGCUGCCUUAACAAAGACAGAAGAUGUGACAGAUCGAGCUGCAUCUCCUCGGAUUUCCUUGGCAUCACUUGAACAUGCAAGGGCCAAAAGAAAGGAAGGAAAGGCAGAGAAAACAAAAGCUCAGCUGGAAGACACUGAAAUGGAGGCACCUACUUUCAAGCCCAGACUUUAAGAGAGCACCUAUCCAUAUGAGAUGACUGUCUCUUUGACAUCAAGCUUGGUAAGACUUUCUUUUGCCAGUGAAAUGUGGAUAUAAGUGAGGUGUACAACUUGCCAGCAGAAGCUUACACAGCCAUGUUAUGGUUUGAUCAUCGUUUUGUUUUGUUUUGUUUUUCCCCCAAAGUGGGGGUUUCAGUCACUUUGUCCAACUGAAAACAUUUAGUGGGUACUGCCAAAUCAAUUCAGAGAUUACAGCAGAAGGAAUGAUGGCCUUAAUCUUGAUCAUGUCUUGGGUGUGGGGCUUUUAAAAAAAAUGAGCCUUAUUACUAAAGGCAUUUCUCAAUUUUAUCUUUUGCUGGUUGGAAAUUAAAAAUAGUUACAUUUUUCAAUCCCACUUACAAACUAGCAAGUUCCUUUGAGCUCUCUCUUUCUUGUAGUACCUUGUUAAAUGUAGCGAACAGAAACUAAGACACACUAGUAACAUUUUGUUUCCUAUCCUCUUCACUUAAGUUUACAAGUUCAUUAAGUACAUGAUCUGCCUUCCUGGAA